CUGAAACGAUUCGAUCUCAGCAAUGGCUAACAUUAAUCUCCCCCGACGAAUCAUCAAGGAAACUCAACUUCUUCUUAAUGAACCAGCUACCGGGAUAAGUGCUUCACCGUCGGAGGUUAAUAUGCGGUACUUCAAUGUGAUGAUUUUUGGCCCAACACAAUUGCCAUAAGAAGUAAAUUGCUGAGUGAUAUAUUGCUUUUAAUGUCACAGAAUUCUUAUGGUUGCUUUGGUUAUGUAAAGUUGGAAUCCCCAUUUGGGUUCUAGAGGUUUGUUCACGAAGACUGUCUAUCAUAGACUUUGAACAUAUCUUUCAUGUCGUUCUCUAUUAGAUUUUACCUACUCCGUAUAGUGCUUUUUGGCUGAAGUUGUGUGAUGAAAGUGGGUGGUGAAUUUCGCUUAUUGCUUCUAGUCAUUUAUCUGGCGUGUGAUGAAAGCCUCAAUCAAGCUGUUUCUUAUGCAAUUCUGGAUUGUUUCAGGCAACUCCAAAACUCAGUGAAGACAAGGUGAAGCAAUGCGUUGACGCUAAAUUAAAUGGAGAUUACCCUCUUGAGGCAGUUGCAGAGGUAUUGGAGAUGGUAACUUUGGCUGAAAAUAAUACAUCAAAUUCGAGGUUUCUUGGUGUAAGAGCAAAAGAUUGUGAAGAAGGUUUUGAAGAUCCAAAAAGCAAAGGAAAAACAAAUUUCAAGGAGCUAAAAAGUGGGAGGGUGGAAGCAAAACUUUUUGGAUUUUAAGAAAUGAAUGAGAAACUGGAAAAGUUGCUUUCUUUGUAUUGAAUUCUCUGUUUUUAGUAGGUUUGAAUUAACAAAAUUUCUUAUA